UAAGUGGUUUCACCUGUGAAUUGGAGUGGAGUAAUUUAAAUGCAAGAAGCAGGAUUCAACUGACUGACUCAUAUUUGAAAAACAACUUUAUUGAAAGGAGGCAAAAAAAAUUUACUGUAACUCACAGAAUCAAAGGAAGAAUUGAGCACUGUUGGGAAGAGCAAGAAGCACAGAAGAGCUGGACAUUUCUGAACAGGGCAACUGAGGCGAUAGGCACCUCUCUGGUCUAUACAACUGCCAUCCAUCUGCUGAACCCUACUGUUCCUCUUGCGAUUGCACAAGUCAAGAUUCAGCUUCCUUGGUGACUAAGAAGCAGAAAGCCAGUAGUGUUCCUUCAAUGUCAACAUUUGCCAUACCUGUUCUAGAAUGGUAAGCGUCUGUUGAUUGAAGAGGUUAGGGAUCCUUCUCUUUCUUCCCACUUAGUUUAGGGAAAAUAAGAGGGAGCAUUAAAGUUUUUUGUUGUUUUCUUUUCCCUGUGAUUCUUGAAAAAGUGUUAAUUGUUUAAAUCCUCUCCAUUUAGAGAGGAAAAAAAAAAAGUUCCUGGAAGGACAAUAUUAGUCAUUAUGCUGGGACCACACACAUAAACCAGGAUUGUCCCAGGCAAACCAGAGCACAUGGCCGCACUGUAUGUAAGGAUCAUCAAUUUAUGUUAAUAGCAUCAUGGCAAAGUAUAAUUCAGUGCACGCAAUUCUAUAAUGAACAGGUGGGAGAGGCGGGUUGGACAAUAUAAUGCACUUUAGAAGUUUUUUUCUCUGCUGACUUAAAGAAAAGGUAGAUUUUGAAGAAUCCUCUCUAAUCAAUAUGCACAGUAUCUUUCAGGCAGUCCUCCAUCAGUAUACUUUUUCUCUGCUGAGUUUUGAAAACAGCUUCUGGGAGUUCAAGAUGAUAUUUCUUGAAAACUACUUGGAUUGAAGCUAUUCCAGAUUCACAGGUAAAUGAAGUAUCUCCCUCUUUAAUAAUCAAAUAUUAUAAAAUACAGACUGACAUUUUUAAAAAGAAACAUAAGGAUACUAACACACUGGUAUAGGAG
rnacentral:lncRNA from 1 species